rnacentral:rRNA from 1 species
GAUGAACGCUGGCGGCGUGCUUAACACAUGCAAGUCGAACGAAGCAUUUGCGACAGAUUUUUUCGGAAUGAAGUUGCUUAUGACUGAGUGGCGGACGGGUGAGUAACGCGUGGGUAACCUGCCUUGUACUGGGGGAUAGCAGCUGGAAACGGCUGGUAAUACCGCAUAAGCGCACAAUGUUGCAUGACAUGGUGUGAAAAACUCCGGUGGUAUAAGAUGGACCCGCGUCUGAUUAGCUAGUUGGUGAGAUAACGGCCCACCAAGGCGACGAUCAGUAGCCGACCUGAGAGGGUGACCGGCCACAUUGGGACUGAGACACGGCCCAGACUCCUACGGGAGGCAGCAGUGGGGAAUAUUGCACAAUGGAGGAAACUCUGAUGCAGCGACGCCGCGUGAGUGAAGAAGUAAUUCGUUAUGUAAAGCUCUAUCAGCAGGGAAGAUAGUGACGGUACCUGACUAAGAAGCUCCGGCUAAAUACGUG